rnacentral:rRNA from 1 species
AUUGAACGCUGGCGGCAUGCCUUACACAUGCAAGUCGAACGGUAACAGGUCUUCGGAUGCUGACGAGUGGCGAACGGGUGAGUAAUACAUCGGAACGUGCCUAGUAGUGGGGGGUAACUACUCGAAAGAGUGGCUAAUACCGCAUGAGAUCUACGGAGGAAAGCAGGGGAUCGCAAGACCCUGUGCUACUAGAGCGGCCGAUGGCAGAUUAGGUAGUUGGUGGGAUAAAAGCUUACCAAGCAGACGAUCUGUAGCUGGUCUGUGAGGACGAUCAGCCACACUGGGACUGAGACACGGCCCAGACUCCUACGGGAGGCAGCAGUGGGGAAUUUUGGACAAUGGGCGAAAGCCUGAUCCAGCAAUGCCGCGUGCAGGAUGAAGGCCUUCGGGUUGUAAACUGCUUUUGUACGGAACGAAAAGCCCCGGGUUAAUACCCUGGGGUCAUGACGGUACCGUAAGAAUAAGCACCGGCUAACUACGUGCCAGCCGCCGCGGUAA